rnacentral:rRNA from 1 species
CACGCCGUAAACGAUGAGUGCUAGGUGUUGGGGGUCAAACCUCGGUGCCGCAGUUAACACAUUAAGCACUCCGCCUGGGGAGUACGUGCGCAAGCAUGAAACUCAAAGGAAUUGACGGGGACCCGCACAAGCAGCGGAGCAUGUGGUUUAAUUCGAAGCAACGCGAAGAACCUUACCAGGUCUUGACAUCCUUUGCACGUUUUAGAGAUAGAACAUUCCCUUCGGGGACAAAGAGACAGGUGG